rnacentral:misc_RNA from 1 species
UGUGGGAGCUGGCUUGCCUGCGAUAGGAUCACCUCGGUUUGCCUGAAGGACCGAGGUGAUGCCAUCGCAGGCAAGCCAGCUCCCACA